CGAAGGGUGCAAGCGUUGUUCGGAAUUAUUGGGCGUAAAGGGUUCGUAGGCGGGAAGAUAAGUUGAGUGUGAAAUCCCUAGGCUUAACCUAGGACGUGCACUCAAAACUCUCUUUCUUGAGUGUUGGAGAGGGUAGUGGAAUUGCUGGUGUAGGAGUGAAAUCCGUAGAGAUCAGCAGGAACAUCGGAGGCGAAGGCGACUGCCUGGCCAAACACUGACGCUGAGGAACGAAAGCAUGGGGAGCAAACAGGAUUAGAUACCCUGGUAGUCCAUGCCGUAAACGAUGAUAACUAGAUGUUGGGGGAGUUGACCCCCUCAGUAUCGCAGCACACGCAUUAAGUUAUCCGCCUGGGGAGUACGGCCGCAAGGCUA
rnacentral:rRNA from 1 species